GGCAAUGCAUUCUAUCUCUUAAGAGACGAUUCUUACAUUCUAGAUAUCCACCCACUCAGUAUAUAAAUGAGUCAUCAGCAGAAACAACAAACAUGUAGAUUCAGAUGCGAUGAUACAUACACUCUGCAUAUAUCAUUUAUAUCCCCAAAUAUAUACACUGCAGGCACAUAUGGACACAUACUGAGUAAAUCACAAAGCUUUCCAUCCUGUAAGUCUUUCUCUUUAGCCUGUGAUGGAUCUCAUUAUUAAUUAAAGAAUCAUUUAGCUUGCAUAAUUGUCUUCUGCCAUCCAUAAUUCCAACCUUUCAAUGUCUUUUCAAGUUGGCUUUUUAGACUAAAUGCACCCCUUUGUCUUGGUGACAUCAUCAACACAGUCUGGAUGGACAGACUCAGCAGUGGGGUGGAUAACAUGGAAAGAGGCCUUCUCUUUGUUCUCAGUCAUGGAACUUACCAAGAGCGUGCAUCUGUCAAGACUUUGCCGGCCUCCUACUUCCUUCACGGGACUCAGGGCCUGAUGUCAGAUGCAAAGUUCCCAAUGUCUAUCAGCUUUAUGUCCGGGUCAACUUUCCUGCUGCACUCUUCUAUGAAGAACAGUGUCAAUAAGUUCAAAAUCCCAUAUGCUUUUGAUCUGAUAUGGAAGUACGAUGCAUCAAUAUCAGACAGCAAAAGGGAAGGGAAGAAAAAAGCUGGAGAAAGAGGAUAA
rnacentral:lncRNA from 1 species